UGCCAGGCCCGGGAGUGCAGGGAAGCUCAGGGCCUCCUCUCUUGUCUCCUGGCAGG
rnacentral:pre_miRNA from 1 species